rnacentral:lncRNA from 1 species
AGUCAAGGGAGGAAGUUCCUGGAGAAGUAGAAGUACUGCGUGGUUAGCGUCCGGUCACUCUUCAGAGCAGCCUUGUACUUACUACGUUUCAGUGUCUCUCCUUGCAGCUUUUCGUAACUUUAACGAACUAUGCUCCUUUCGUGUCUCAGUUUCUAUAUCUGUUUCGCCAAGCGCCGCUCGGAAGGGUUAAUUCAGGAGCGAGCCCUACUGGAAAAGGCGGCUUUGUGUGGAAGUUUGCACCUGGGAGGUGAGAGCUGGACGGAACGUUAAAGAGCCCUGAAGGCUUAACUCUACGCUUCUGAGGUUAAAAAAGAGAGAGAGAGAAAGAAACGGCUCCAGAAAGAGGCGGAUGACACCCCAGGUUACAUGGCAAAAAAGUGACUAAACUGAGAACUCAGGGCACCAAUCUCCCAGUUUCCCCAUUGAGAUUUCAUCCUGUUACAUUUCCCGGCAUCACCUUGUUCUUGCUUUGAACCCUUGCGACUUUUUUUUUGUAGAUGGAAAAGAUUCUUUUAGUUGGUAUUUGGAGACAUCUAGUGAAAGAAUAUGAAAGCAAAGGUCGAGUCCGCAAGUUCUGGUAGUUCGUGGAAUUAAAAAGUGAGCAUGAUUAGAGUUUACAGCUAAAAAUCCUUGGACUUGGAUCUGAAAUUUGCGAAGGUGCUACAAUUUGAUCAGGAGAGUGGGUAAAAUUAAUACUUGCAUUAUUGUUUUAAUUAUUUGUAGCUCUUUUUACUCUAAACGCUGACAUUUUUUUUUAAGGAAUGAAAAAAUGCGCCUUUAGAUAUUUUGAAAGGAUGUUAUUUCAGUAUAUGAGUUAAUAUAUUCCGUGCAGCAGAAUCUUUAUUUGAAAGCACGCUUAUGGAUAAAGGUUAGUCUUUAGUUCACUUACUGAUUCCAUCUGCUCCAUUACCUAGUCUUGCUUAAGUUCUAAGUGCUUAAAAAACUCAUAAGCAGUUUACAGCUCUGCACUUUGCAGCUGUUCGAUCUUUUCCAAAUUCAACAUAUGCAGAUUUUCAGGUUGGCUAUGUGAAGCUAAGUACCACCAAACAUAAUGUUCUACAACAUGGGAAGUAUUUCUGUAAUAGUUAAUGGACUUUAUUAAGUGGGUUGCUUUAGUUUUCCCAGAGCCACCAUUUCUUUUCCACUAUGAAGGGCGGUUUAUAUAAAAAUAGUAUCUUGGAGUUCCCAUAGUGGCUCCAGGAAUGAAUCUGACUAGCAUCCGUGAAGACUCAGGAUCCCUGGCCUUGCUCACUGGGUUGAGAAUCCAGCAUUGGCACUCACAUCCUGAGUUGCUGUGGCACCACUGGCCUAUGCCAGAGCCACAGCAACGCAGGAUCCGAGCCGUGUCUGCAACCUACACCACAGCUCAGGGCAACGCCGGAUCAUUAACCCACUGAGCAAGGGCAGGGACCGAACCCGCAACCCCAUGGUUCCUAGUCGGAUUCGUUAACCACUNGCCAUUUCUAGGGCCGCUCCCUCGGCAUAUGGAGGUUUCCAGGCUAGGGGUCUAAUCUGAGCUGUAGCAGCUGGCCUACACCAGAGCCACAGCAACGCCAGAUCCAAGCCGCAUCUGCAACCUACACCACAGCUCAUGGCAACACUGGAUCCUUAACUCACUGAGCAAGGCCAGGAAUCGAACUGCAACCUCAUGGUUCCUAGUUGGAUUCGUUAACCACUGAGCCACGACGGGAACUCCUUGAAUUAUUUCUGAGUUGAAAAUACAUAUAUAUUUAAAAGUUUAAGUCUUAUUUAUUUAUUUAUUUAUUUGGCCAUGCUUGCAGCAUACAGAAGUUCACAGGCCUGGAGCCACAGCAGUGACUGCAAGAUCCUUAACCUACUAGGCUGCCAGGGAACUCUCCAAAUUUUAAAUUUUUAUGUGGAUAGUGAUAAAUAUAUGUAAAAUGUAUAAAGUGAAACUUGAUAAGAUUAUAAAGAAAAAUGUAUGUGGCCAUAUUAGGUGAUUUUAACAAGCCUUUCCCAGUGAUUAAGACAAGCAAAAAAAAAAAAAAAUCAUCAUGGACUUGGAGAAUAGACUUGUGGCUGCCGGACGGGAGAGGGAGGGAGUGGGAGGAAUCGGGAGCUUGGGGUUAUCAGAUACAACUUACAAUAGAUUUACAAGGAGAUCCUGCUGAGUAGCAUUGAGAACUAUGUCUAGAUACUCAUAUUGCAACAGAACAAAGGGUGGAAAAAAAAAUGUAUACAUGUAAGAAUAACUUGAUCCCCAUGCUGUACAGCGGGAAAAAUGAAAUAAAAAUUUUUUAAAAAU